AUUGAACGCUGGCGGCAGGCCUAACACAUGCAAGUCGAACGAGUGGCGGACGGGUGAGUAAUGUCUGGGAAACUGCCUGAUGGAGGGGGAUAACUACUGGAAACGGUAGCUAAUACCGCAUAACAUCAGAUGUGCCCAGAUGGGAUUAGCUUGUUGGUGGGGUAACGGCUCACCAAGGCGACGAUCCCUAGCUGGUCUGAGAGGAUGACCCGCCCCACUGGAACUUAUCCACGGUCCAGACUCCUACGUGAGGCAGCAUUGGGGAAUAUUUCACCAUCGGCGCCAGCCUGAUGCAUCCAUCCCGCGUGUAUGCAUAACGCCUUCGGGUUUUAAAGUCCUUUCGGCGGGCAGGCCUUACCCUCUGUAGAAUCACCGGCUAACUCCGUGCCAGCAGCCGCGGUAAUUC
rnacentral:rRNA from 1 species